UACGUAGGGGGCAAGCGUUGUCCGGAAUCAUUGGGCGUAAAGCGCGCGUAGGCGGCUCGAUCAGUCUGCUGUAAAAGUCAAAGGCUCAACCUUUGAAUGCCGGUGGAUACUGUCGGGCUAGAGUCCGGAAGAGGCGAGUGGAAUUCCUGGUGUAGCGGUGGAAUGCGCAGAUAUCAGGAGGAACACCAAUGGCGAAGGCAGCUCUCUGGGACGGUACUGACACUGAGACGCGAAAGCGUGGGGAGCGAACAGG
rnacentral:rRNA from 1 species